CAGUCGCCGCGGUAAUACGUAGGGUGCAAGCGUUAAUCGGAAUUACUGGGCGUAAAGCGUGCGCAGGCGGUUAUAUAAGACAGAUGUGAAAUCCCCGGGCUCAACCUGGGAACUGCAUUUGUGACUGUAUAGCUAGAGUACGGCAGAGGGGGAUGGAAUUCCGCGUGUAGCAGUGAAAUGCGUAGAUAUGCGGAGGAACACCGAUGGCGAAGGCAAUCCCCUGGGCCUGUACUGACGCUCAUGCACGAAAGCGUGGGGAGCAAACAGGAUUAGAGACCCGAGUAGUCCCUGUCUCUUAUAA
rnacentral:rRNA from 1 species